CUACGGGUCGCUGCAGUGAGGAAUAUUGCACAAUGGAGGAAACUCUGAUGCAGCAACGCCGCGUGGAGGAUGACGCAUUUCGGUGUGUAAACUCCUUUUAUAUGUCAAGAAAAUGACGGUAGCAUAUGAAUAAGCUCCGGCUAACUCCGUGCCAGCAGCCGCGGUAAUACGGAGGGAGCAAGCGUUACUCGGAAUCACUGGGCGUAAAGGACGCGUAGGCGGGAUAGAAAGUCAGGUGUGAAAUCCUAUGGCUCAACCAUAGAACUGCACUUGAAACUUCUAACCUAGAGUAUGGGAGGGGAAGAUGGAAUUAGUGGUGUAGGGGUAAAAUCCGUAGAUAUCACUAGGAAUACCAAAAGCGAAGGCGAUCUUCUGGAACAAUACUGACGCUAAGGCGUGAAAGCGUGGGGAGCAAACAGGAUUAGAUACCCGCGUAGUC
rnacentral:rRNA from 1 species